AGUGAACGCUGGCGGUAGGCCUAACACAUGCAAGUCGAACGGCAGCACAGGAGAGCUUGCUCUCUGGGUGGCGAGUGGCGGACGGGUGAGGAAUACAUCGGAAUCUACUUUUUCGUGGGGGAUAACGUAGGGAAACUUACGCUAAUACCGCAUACGACCUACGGGUGAAAGCAGGGGACCUUCUGUCCUUGCGCGAUUGAAUGAGCCGAUGUCGGAUAAGCUAGUUGGCGGGGUAAAGGCCCACCAAGGCGACGACCCGUAGCUGGUCUGAGAGGAUGAUCAGCCACACUGGAACUGAGACACGGUCCAGACUCCUACGGGAGGCAGCAGUGGGGAAUAUUGGACAAUGGGCGCAAGCCUGAUCCAGCCAUACCGCGUGGGUGAAGAAGGCCUUCGGGUUGUAAAGCCCUUUUGUUGGGAAAGAAAUCCAGCUGGCUAAUACCCGGUUGGGAUGACGGUACCCAAAGAAUAAGCACCGGCUAACUUCGUGCCAGCAGCCGCAGUAA
rnacentral:rRNA from 1 species